rnacentral:rRNA from 1 species
ACGGGUGCGUAACGCGUGGGAAUCUGCCCCUUGGUUCGGAAUAACAGUUGGAAACGACUGCUAAUACCGGAUGAUGACGUAAGUCCAAAGAUUUAUCGCCGAGGGAUGAGCCCGCGUAGGAUUAGGUAGUUGGUGUGGUAAAGGCGCACCAAGCCGACGAUCCUUAGCUGGUCUGAGAGGAUGAUCAGCCACACUGGGACUGAGACACGGCCCAGACUCCUACGGGAGGCAGCAGUGGGGAAUAUUGGACAAUGGGCGAAAGCCUGAUCCAGCAAUGCCGCGUGAGUGAUGAAGGCCUUAGGGUUGUAAAGCUCUUUUACCCGGGAUGAUAAUGACAGUACCGGGAGAGUAAGCUCCGGCUAACUCCGUGCCAGCAGCCGCGGUAAUACGGAGGGAGCUAGCGUUAUUCGGAAUUACUGGGCGUAAAGCGCACGUAGGCGGCUUUGUAAGUAAGAGGUGAAAGCCCAGAGCUCAACUCUGGAAUUGCCUUUUAGACUGCAUCGCUUGAAUCAUGGAGAGGUCAGUGGAAUUCCGAGUGUAGAGGUGAAAUUCGUAGA